CAAAUACUCCCUCCGUCCGAAAAUACUUGUCAUUCAAAUGGAUGUAUCUAGAUGUAUUUUAGUUCUAGAUACAUCUAUUUUUAUCCAUUUUGAUGACAAGUAAUUCAGGACGGAGGAGUAGAAG
rfam:Triticum aestivum genome assembly, contig: Triticum_aestivum_CS42_TGACv1_scaffold_501085_6BL